rnacentral:rRNA from 1 species
GGGAGUGUAGACCUGGAGUGUGGGUGGGGGAGAGAGGAGAGAGAGAGAGCAGCUCUUCUUUCUUUCCUUCGCUUUCGAGAUCAUCAGAGCAGUGGACGUGUGUCUGGCGAGCACUCCGCUCUCUCCCCGGCUCAGGCUCCGGUGGUUUGGUUUUUCCUUUUCUUAAGAAAAGAACCUCUUCUUGUGCGUGCGUAUGCGUAGCUCCUCCCUCCGCCCCCGUAUGUCCUCUCCCACCUUCCCUUGGGAUCAGUUUGUCUCUGCCUAGACGGGAGGUGGCGGCUGCGGCUGCGGCUGUUGCUAGCGGACCCAGACAGACCUACACCUCUAGGACUUAAGGAUCUUAGGUCAAAGAACUCUACCUAUACUUCACCCGUUGUUCUCCUGCUUCCCCCGACCCAGACUUGUACUGUCCUUACGUCGCUUCUUAGCAUAAGUCGAGACGAAGGCGGAGAACAACUACCCGAUAGAGUCAUUACCUUACUUCGUAGGUCCGUGGGGAACUUGUGGGACAAAUAGUAACAUAUAAUGAUUGUAUAAUGCGACCAACAACGUCUAAAGAACGAUAUGUCUUCCAGUUAUUAUCAAGAGAAGGUCAUCCACGAUAACGGGACCUUCUAACAAUGACUUAGGUGGUCAAUUUGUAAGUUCAAUAUACGUAAAUGUGUACUGUACCCCAGAGCACCUUCCUACAAUAAACUGGAGUUACUCGAGGGUUGUCUUCGACUACUUCUUCUUCGACGACAACAACACAGGGUUGGAGUCGAAGGACAAGGGUUAUACAUAGGGAGUUUAAACAAAGGUGGUGUUCUUCACGGAACCAGUGUUCCCUAUAAUUUGUUGGUACGGAAAUUAGUACGUAGAAGACCAAGUCCAAAAGUCGGAAAACAAUCUUCAUGUCUAAGUGUUUUACAUUUCUUAAGAUACUUAUGUCUUCUCUUAAACCUACGAUGACGCCGAAGAUGUAGACACCAUUGAUUAUUAAAUAGACUAUCACAACACACAGGAUGACCCGGGAGGUUAGUCCAAGGUGUUAGUCAACUUUCUCUUCUCCCUCUCACCAGACUACGUCUACCACGAAGACUGUGUCGUCCAUCAUCACAGUCGUUGUUCCUUCUUAGACGACCAUGACGUUCAUGAGUUCACUUUUCUCUUAGGGUCCUCUCACCUGGACGAUAACAAUUUAGAUGACUACACUAAUUUCUACUGUAACGAGGACUUGGACCACUGUGACUUUACAGACUACACAGAUUUCCAGGUCAGGAAGUACCAGACUGUCCUGAUCUCUCGUACUUUUGCAGACUUAGAUUUCCUUCAGUUGGACACCUACUAAACCUGGUCACGUGAUUCAGUUUCCUACAGUCUCCUCAUCUUCGGUCAAUACGUAACUUCACGUGCUUGUUGGGACGUUUCUCUGGAUUCAAUCUACUAGUGUUUCAACGUUACGAACCAUUUUUCGCUCGCUCCGUCUGACACAAGUAGUUACAACUCCUACGUUUUGUUCGACCGUGUUACUUCUGUUAAUGUGGCUCCUCUGUCAGUAGAAAAGGUCGUGGUUAACAAUGUGCAUGGCACUUUCUUCGAAGAGCACCACAACCACUUUCUCGACGUCUGUUCGUCUUGGUUGGUCAGUAGUCCCUAGUCUCUGUUAGACUCUACUAACCAGGUCUUUCUUCAUUAAGACGUCUAGGAACACUGGUUUUACCUCUUAGAUUACCACUAAAACUCAACCCUAGAGUGCCGUCCAGUUUCUUUUACUUACGGCUUCUUGGGGGGAGUCUAUCAAUGGUUGUUAGACACGGUUCCGUCCGGAAAAGUUUCGUCGGGUGCCUAAGGUUCGUCAAAUUUCCGUCUGGUCAGAGAAGAGUCUCUCGUGAAGAUUGUCCUGUUGUAUGACGUCUAGUCUUCGGUCGAUUGUUUUCCAGAGAACAAGGUUUCUUCGUUCGAAGUCAAUUAUUGUGUGUCAUAUUACUGUGUAGACAACUUGCUAAAUAUGCCCUUCACUGUUUACCGUUCAAGACCGUGUUAGGUCUCCUCCUUCUUGAAGUCACACAAGGACCUUCGAAACUAAGACGGCUCCUCAUGUAAUCUCAAAAACUCGGAAACGAAAAACUCCUUACGUCUCGAGUCGAUAUAUCAAGGAUGCUCCUCUCAGAACUCCGACAUAGUUCCCUACGUGUACAUUACCACGCGCACUUUUCACACCUAUCCGCACUUUCUCCUACCAUACUACAAUAACAAAACGGUUGUGUACUUAUAUUUACCUGAAAAUUUCUUCCUCUUCAACGUUAAAACAGCAGGGGGGCCGGACCAAGUCGACGGGUUAGUUCAUCUAGAUUAUCCUUCUGGCGACGAAGUUUACUUCUGCGACUUCGACUGACACCUGCCGAACAUCCAUGCCAGUCUGCGGUAUACGGAUAACUAUGCGCACUAGGGUAACCUCGUUGAUAGGUAAAAAUACGACCCCUAAGUAAACUAACAUCGUCGCUCUGAUUACAAGACUCCUUUGACGUUGGAGCUUCGUGGACCAUAGAUUGCCCAGAACCAAGGGAACGUUGUUGUGUUUCCCUUAUACAUCGUAACGUACGUAAGGCGGCAGAAUUACACGUCUACGUUUUACGUUAAGAAGUCGGUUCAGGUCUCGUGAAGGGUUUUAUAGUUCUCGUCGGCGGACGAUACGGACUGACAAAGUGAGGUUCAAAAAGACUAGUAUAGUUAGCAUGAAAGUUACCCGGAGUCGAUAGCCGAUAAGUAACCCGACGUUACGUGUGUCGACGACCAUGUUCGUUACCUCACCAAUUCUUUGUUCUUGGUACCGGAAAGUGUAAUCAUGUUCCAGGAGGCCCCUGUCCCUUUUGGGUAUGACACACCCCUUACAAUUUACAAUAAGUAGAACAAGUCAUAGUUGUAAUGAUACGACGAGACGAUUUCUUUGAACGAGGACUUUCAAUGUUCGUUCAACCAUCAUGGUGAUUGUCGUCGAGUCUCCGAAAACGGCGUCCCAGAUAACUACUUCAAAACGUCUCGUACCUAGUCUUGGAAAAGGCGUGAGAAGGGUUCGAAACGGGGUUUGGUGCCUACGAACACACGCGGGGUAGUUUACGACGUUGUCUACUCGACGAAAGAGCACAAGAACUGGCUCCAAAGUAUCUACCACUCUACUUCCAAAUGGCGGGACUACAACGGGCACAACCUCAACUGUGUGUCAGAGCACGACGGGUUCGACAUAGUCAACUCGCUGCCUGCCUUGUCGAAAAUUACUUCCCGGCACUACUUCAUUAACCCACCAACGUCGUCGAUUUUCCGGCACUCGUCGUCAAUAGUGUCCUCUAUCCCGAAGAUGUCUCCCUUGAAUUAUAGCAACGUCGUCGACCAUCUAGGGUACCAAGCCAACCCCAUCUAGGACUACACGAUCGAGUGUCCCUAGCAUUGGCACUGUAAGACGAAGUUUUUGAACGACGGAGACAUCUUUCGUCCCUAUUUCAUGAACAUCUCUACAGUUCCGACGACUAUAAUCUUUCGUCCAAGGCACAACCGUCGUUGAAGUUAGACCUUCUACGAUCCAGAUCAGACCUUCGGUCAAAGCGGUUACUUCGUCUUUAACAAAAAUGUUGUCACAGUUCGUCGCCCGCGUCCAAUAAAAGAGCGGAAUCAGUACCAAAACUAUACCAACAAUAGCUACUCCGACGAGUCCGGUCACUUCAACCUCAGGAGGGAGGUGAACGUGAACCACGGCGAUCUACACAGAACCAUCCACUAGGUGUCGUCGAGGGACGGUGACAAUAAUCAUUUCGCCGACCUUGAAAUGAGAUAUCGUCCUCGGAAAAACUCUCCAAAGUCGUCCGACCAACGGGAUGGUAAAACAACAGUCACGUUAUAGCCUACGUAGGGGUCUAGGCUCUCAAAGGUAGUGCUAUGAAAAUAGUUCCGGCGGAAUGUCUGUCACUUUCACAACAGUUUGACGGACUACUCAACAUAAUGUUUCUACGUAAUUACCGUGGAAUGUAUAAAAUACUGUAGAGUGUACCAGCACUCAGAGUAUCUCCACCUAGUAGAAGUAUGGUCUUACAAGUACUUCGAGUCAAACGUAACGCAAAUAUGCUCGUAGAAGUCUUCGAACACUUUCAAUUACCACCAUUCUUCCGUAGACAACCAUAUUAGUGAGGUAUAUUCAACGUCAACUUCACAGAAGUCGCCCUUAAACUCCUCCAGUACUUAUGACUCCUUCCCUUUCUAUAGAUGUAUUUGUGUCAUCUACGAAAAGUUCCGGUCCUCGCACUACACUAAUAGUACAGUACGCACGCACGAAGUUUGGUGCCGCACCCAAAACAACGUCUAUAUGCCGCGUACUUACAACGAGAAUGAGCUCGAUCCUCUCGAGAUACCCAACAACCAUUACGGUCACGAGAGUACGUCAGUCUCCUGACCCGCCGCGACCAUCGUCUACGUUUCCGGUCUUUUACAAAGUACCUGAACCUAUCGUAGGGGUUCCUGAAAGAACGGUACUUCUAGAGAAGGUUGUGAGGUCCUUCCUUAUGAAGUUUGUUGGAUUCCUUGAACUCCUGACCACCUGGUUCUGGCUCCGUAGACCUGUACGAAGGCCUGGGGUCCUAACCGUACUCCCGACUACUCCUACUCGCAGGAUUGAGACAAGGUUCUUUACGAUCAAUGGCCUUAAACCUACUGGACCCUGCUAGACCACUAUCUAGAUCCCUUUCAAACGUCAAACCUCACCGGUUCUCCGGCUUAAGUAGGUUACCAAGAGCCUCUCUUCAGACUUCUGUUACGCAACGAUAGAAGUAGAAACGCACGCGCAUUGUUACUACUCGAAGGAGCCCUACUUCGGACCAACCUCGUUUCGUAGUGGAUAACCUUCUACAUGUGGGACCCAGCCAACACAAUUCCUCUUCCGUAAUAACUGUAUUACUUUCCUAAGGAGUACUUUAAUCAUCCGGAGAGCCGCCGUACAACGUUGUUAUCGGUGACUGCAGUCAUGUUAGUCUAGCAGUCUACGCGAGACAACCCACCAAGUCUAAUGUCAUCUUUUUCCGACGGGGUCCAGGAGUCACAAGACGUUAACACGUCCUUUGUAAACCAGACAACUAUAUUGGUCUGAAGUUGUUCCGACGUCGACCUACCAAAGAAAGACCCUAACGUUAUGAACGAAAUCACACGAAUUGUCCGAUGGUAGAAAGAGUAUCUAUAUUUAUGUACGCGUACCCGUAAAGGUAAAACUCUGUACGGUCCUCUCUAUUUAGAGUGACCGGGAUCUCGUUCCCAUAUAGACUACUACAAAGUAUUAGAAUCGAACCUUACGACGACCAAGCCACCACCAGGAGACUCUACGAUGUGGAAUACUACAUGAUCAUACUGUAAGACAAGACGUCUUAAAGUCUUACGACUCCCGAUACUGAAGUUAGAACCGACCCACAACGACCUGCCACCACCAGUAGCUUCUAGAGUCCAUGCUGUGCUUUCUCAUGAACGGUCGAACCACACUACGUACAUACGGGGGUCCUUCUGGAAUGCAGGUUCGACCUCACGAAAAGACCAUGAACUUUCACUUGUACGACGACACUAAUAAAAUUAAGCGUUAUACUGUGUCUAACACUAAUAAAAAAUACCGCUUUUCCUAGACUAUGUAAUAUUUCUAAGUGAACUUCAUGUUUAGUAGAGUUCGUGAACGGCGACGAGCUUGCUCGACAACUGCCAGGAAAUAUGGCCUGACCGGACAGGAGAAGCACGUUCACGAGUUACGUUCGACAUCAUCGACUGCAACUUAGCUAUACUUUAUGGCCAGUGGUUUAAACGGCAUCGGUUACCGUUCGCUCUUACAAUCGUUGGGUCACGAGUUAGGUGAGUUUGAUCGUACUUUAUGUUUGGUACCUCCAACCAGUUCUUUACAUAGAUAUACAUACUAUCAAGAUCUAUGUAAGUAAAAAUAAGUAAAGAUGCUGUUCAUUAAAGCCUGCCUCUCUCUCUUCCUUCUUGUCCUCGGUCAGUUCAGCAUGUUCGUUCCGGCUUCGGUAGGAAAGGGACGGUUCGACGAGCACCCCCGGCUUAGGUAGACAAGGGUCGGCUCAACGAGCAACUCCGGGGGGGACAUCACGUAGAGGAAGCACCCGACCCAUCACGGACUCUCGGGCUGUUCCGGGUCCAACAACUGUGUUAGGGAGGGUGGUAUUCUAAG